CUACGGGAUGCUCCAGUGAGGAAUAUUGCACAAUGGGGGGAACCCUGAUGCAGCAACGCCGCGUGGAGGAUGACGCAUUUCGGUGUGUAAACUCCUUUUAUAUGUCAAGAAAAUGACGGUAGCAUAUGAAUAAGCACCGGCUAACUCCGUGCCAGCAGCCGCGGUAAUACGGAGGGUGCAAGCGUUACUCGGAAUCACUGGGCGUAAAGGACGCGUAGGCGGGUUGGAAAGUCAGAUGUGAAAUCCUACAGCUUAACUGUAGAACUGCACUUGAAACUUCUAGUCUAGAGUAUGGGAGGGGGAGAUGGAAUUAGUGGUGUAGGGGUAAAAUCCGUAGAUAUCACUAGGAAUACCUAAAGCGAAGGCGAUCUCCUGGAACAUUACUGACGCUAAGGCGUGAAAGCGUGGGGAGCAAACAGGAUUAGAUACCCGUGUAGUC
rnacentral:rRNA from 1 species